GACGAACGCUGGCGGCGUGCUUAACACAUGCAAGUCGAACGGAAAGGCCCUACCUUGGUGGGGUACUCGAGUGGCGAACGGGUGAGUAACACGUGAGUAACCUGCCCUGGACUCUGGGAUAACUCCGGGAAACUGGGGCUAAUACCGGAUAUGACCUCCUGCUGCAUGGUGGGGGUUGGAAAGUUUCGGCGGUUGGGGAUAGGCUCGCGGCUUAUCAGCUUGUUGGUGGGGUAGUGGCUUACCAAGGCUUUGACGGGUAGCCGGCCUGAGAGGGUGACCGGCCACAUUGGGACUGAGAUACGGCCCAGACUCCUACGGGAGGCAGCAGUGGGGAAUAUUGCACAAUGGGCGGAAGCCUGAUGCAGCAACGCCGCGUGCGGGAUGACGGCCUUCGGGUUGUAAACCGCUUUCGCCAGUGACGAAGCGUGAGUGACGGUAAUGGGUAAAGAAGCACCGGCUAACUACGUG
rnacentral:rRNA from 1 species